CCUACGGGCGGCAGCAGUGAGGAAUAUUGGUCAAUGGACGAGAGUCUGAACCAGCCAAGUCGCGUGAAGGAUGACUGCCCUAUGGGUUGUAAACUUCUUUUAUAUGGGAAUAAAAUGUUCCACGUGUGGGAUUUUGUAUGUACCAUAUGAAUAAGGAUCGGCUAACUCCGUGCCAGCAGCCGCGGUAAUACGGUGGAUCCGAGCGGUAUCCGGAGUUAUUGGGUUUAAAGGGAGCGUAGGUGGAUUGUUAAGUCAGUCGGGAAAGGUUGGGGCUCAACCGUAAAAGUGCAGUUGAAACUGGCAGUCUUGAGGAGAGGAGAGGUGGGCGGAAUGCGUGGUGUAGCGGUGAAAUGCUUAGAUAUCACGAAGAACUCCGAUUGCGAAGGCAGCAUACUGGCCCGCAACUGACACUGAGGCUCGAAAGUGUGGGUAUCAAACAGGAUUAGAUACCCCUGUAGUC
rnacentral:rRNA from 1 species